AGUUUUAUAAAAUAAUCAUUCAGCUGCCCAAACCCAAGUUUGAUUUCACAGAUAAUGAGGGCUUUAUUACAGCAACCUGAAGCAUUCAAAAAAA